rnacentral:rRNA from 1 species
CGUAGGUGGCGAGCGUUGUCCGGAUUUACUGGGUGUAAAGGGCGCGCAGGCGGCCCUGCAAGUCGGAUGUGAAAGAUCAAGGCUCAACCUUGACAGGCCAUUCGAAACUGUGGGACUUGAGUGUCAGAGGGGAAAGUGGAAUUCCUAGUGGAGCGGUAAAAUGCGCAGAUAUUAGGAGGAACACCGGUGGCGAAGGCGACUUUCUGGCUGACAACUGACGCUGAGGCGCGAAAGCGUGGGGAGGCAAACAGGAUUAGAUACCCU